GCAAGGGGGAAACCCUAAAUUCUGCAAAUUAGCUAAAUUGAAAGGGGAUUCAAGGCCAAAUCACAUGCAUGAACUCGAAACCUUAACCAUCUAAGCUAGUACAACAAGCGGCGUUAAGGAAGAAAGUUCGAGUCAAGUGAAGCAACAAGGGAAUCAAGACCGAGGCGUUAAGGAAGAAAGUUCGAGUCAAGUGAAGCAACAAGGGAAUCAAGACCGAGGUAAAUCUCAUGUCUAGCUAUCAAGCUUCGCCCGGUUCGAACACGCCUCAAGCCCGUCAAGCGUUCCGCAUUUUGUAAAAGUCAAUGUUUAAAACUUUGUCACUUAUGUUUUCGUCUAGUACAUAAACCUAGUUUUCAUUAUGUUGUCUUUUGGAAAACUUGUCGUAAGUACGUACAUAAACUCAAUGGUUUCGUAAGUAAAACAUGGUAUGUUUUGACGUGU